CACAGAAUGGUUUGGGUUGGAAAGGACCCUAAGCACAUCCAGUUCCAACCCCUGCCAUGGGCAGGGACACCUCACACUAGACCAUGUCACUCAAGGCUCUGUCCAACCUGGCCUUGAACACUGCCAGGGAUGGAGCAUUCACCGCUUCUCUGGGCACCCUGUGCCAGGCCUCACCACCCUCACAGUAAAGAACUUCUUCCUUAUAUCCAA